CAGGCCUCCUUGAGCUGUGGUGGGCUCCACCCAUUUGGAGCUUCCCAGCUGCUUUGUUUACCUAAGCAAGCCUGGGCAAUGGCGGGCGCCCCUCCCCCAGCCUCGCUGCCGCCUUGCAGUUUGAUCUCAGACUGCUGUGCUAGCAAUCAGCGAGACUCCGUGGACGUAGGACCCUCUGAGCCAGGUGCGGGAUAUUAUCUCAUGGUGUGCCGUUUUUUAAGCCAGUCGGAAAAGCACAGUAUUCGGGUAGGAGUGACCCGAUUUUCCAGGAUCCAGUCCAAGAAUAAGUAAAUGGCAUCCUUCCAGUGGAGAGCUGACAGCUGGGAUUGAAACAAGAUCCAGAAUUCACCCUGCUGUUUCUCCAUGAGUCUGACCUGCAUCAACUGCCUCCCUUAUUCUGGGAUUCCAGUUGUGGAGCUCAAGGACAAGUCCAUUCUGGGCUGGCUGUAUCCAACUUCUUUAGUCCAACUAUAUCCCCACUGGAAGCCAGGCUCUUUCCAACAGCUGUCACCCAUGCCUCUUUCUAUGUUUGUUAUCUGUCUCUAGGUUCUGGUAACUACUUCCUUCCCUUGCCCCUUCUGGCCUAGGGUGCUACCAAUCCCUCCUCCAAAUCCAACUGUCACUAGCCUCAAAGUACUUGUAGCUUCCUCACCUUACUUUCACCUUAAUAAAUGGUCCCCCUACUAUCUCUCUUCAAAGCACCCAAUUUGAGUGUGCCAUCUGUUUCUUGCCAGGAUCCUGGUUGGUACAUCAACCAAGCUGCACUGAUGGAGGAGCACUGUGCUGAACUUUAGGAAUGAAGCCACAGGGCCCUCACUGCCCCCAUAGUCACCUUGGUCAUCUUCUGCCUCCCUGAAAGACUAAAUUCAGUCAGUUCAGAUACAUACACAUCCAGACAUGUCAGGGAAAACUCCAUUUUGUAAGGAUCUCUGCUUAAAAUGCCAAAAGUUUGAAAGUUGGCAAACACUUGAGAAAAGCACAGUUCUCUGUCUUACUCUUACUCUAAACUUGGAGAUAAAUGCAUUUUUAAAAUUGUGCAUGUUAGAGUGCUAACGUGUACAAGAUCAUUUCUGGUGAGACACCACAAACAAUAUUUUAUGAGGCCAAAAUAAGAAAGAAGGAAAUGAAAUAGCUCAGGAAUCUCAGGAAGAGCUCAUCGAACACUUUGCCUUUAUCUCAGACCAUUUUAUCCACAGCCCUGUUAAUCAGGAUUGGAUAUACCUCCAUGAGGGAGUCUUAAACGGAGGGAAAGAGAUGCCACAACUAAAAAAAAGAAUGCAAUAGAAGUUUGUCUUAAUGCCUGUUCUGUGAUGCACAACUUUCGUAAGCCAAAAUUUUAACCUUAUGAACAAUCAGUUCUGUGCUGCCCUUAGCAGAGAACCAUAAAUUAAAGAUAAGCAAUGGUUCAGACUUUCCAGGGCCUUGACUCAGGAGUAACUCUGAAAUCCCAACCAAAUAUGUAUUUGGUUAAGCAAUUUGGCACAUUUUUCUAUUUUGAGGCAUUAAACUAUAAUUACAAGUCACUUUUAUUUCAUUCCAAAUAAAUGUCCCUAAAGUAGAUAGAACUAGAGGUUUCCUUUUUUUAAAAAAAGGAAACAGGAAAACAACAAACAAAACCAAAAAGAACAAAAGCAAAACAAAACUUAGUCAAGCUAACAAAUUGCAUGUAUGGUGUGUUUUAUAAUUUAAUCAAUAUAAAAAAUUGAGUGUGCUAGUGCCUCAGGAGGACUCAGAGGACUCAAAUACUCAAUAGGUUAUCUGGAGGAAUUUCUCAUUGGAGAAAAAAAUUAAAGUUCUUUUGAACAACCCACAUAAUCAAGAUAGUAAUAAUUUAACCUCAAGUUUUUCCUUGAUUAAAAAAUCCCUUUGCUAUUCUGCUCCAGUGUUUGUAAUAGAUGGUUCAACAAGACUGGUGUUUUGUUAGUUGGAAAAGUAAGCUGAUAUGAGGGGUGGGGAGAGGAAGGGCAGAAAUUUAUUAACAAUCAGCAAGUAAAGAAAAACAGCCUGCAAAUUGUAAUGAAAGGAAGAAAGGACAGGAAAGGAAAGGUAGGGCUGGUGGAGAGUGACUGUUCUGCCUGCUUACUGCACAGGCCAAGAACAAACUCACGAUAAAUACUCCAGGUCCUCAAGAAAAAGGUUUCUGUGCUGAAUUAUGGUAGUCUACCUGAAAUUGGGAUGAUGAAUUAGAAAACCUCUCUCAUCGCUUCAAGUCUUGUGAUUUAUUCAUUCAGUGCCAUUUAUUGUAUAACUAUAUAAUUUCUAAAGGGGGAUAACUACAAGAAAAAGAUGUGAUUUCUUCUUUCAGAGAUCCCCAAAUAUAGAAAGCUAUUCAUAUACUGCUUAGAUAAACAAAGAUUAUCUUCUUUUUCUACAUUCUAUAUAAUGUUCCUUAAACUCAAGCUCUCUUCUCCCCAUCUCUACCUUACCCCUCUGGGUAGCAAGGAAAAAUAAAAAUAAUGUCAUUCAAUGGUUUCUUUGCCUCCUCUGAUUUAAACAGUCUAUUUUGAUUUCAGAUUUCUCUUUGAGGUAAAUAUUCCGGGAAUUCUAAAUUUAAGUCCUUAUUAUAGCGACUUCUUCCUUUCAAUUCUUACUUCUUUCCAACGUGGUGUCUGUCCUAGUGAUCCUCUUGAUGCUGGGAGGAGGAGGAGUCACCUGUUCUCCUGUGGUCUUUCACUGGUUUCCACAGUGGGUGGCUGGUCCAAUCCUUGGGUGCAACUUGGUCAGCUCCAGUGUGCUUUG
rnacentral:lncRNA from 1 species